ACGGGAGGCAGCAGUGGGGCAUAUUGGGCAAUGGGCGAAAGCCUGACCCAGCAACGCCGCGUGAAGGAAGAAGGUCUUCGGAUUGUAAACUUCUUUUAUGUGGGACGAACAAAUGACGGUACCACAUGAAUAAGCCACGGCUAACUACGUGCCAGCAGCCGCGGUAAUACGUAGGUGGCAAGCGUUAUCCGGAUUUACUGGGUGUAAAGGGCGCGUAGGCGGGGAAGCAAGUCAGAUGUGAAAUCCAUGGGCGCAACCCAUGAACUGCAUUUGAAACUGUUUCUCUUGAGUGCUGGAGAGGUAGAUGGAAUUCCUAGUGUAGCGGUGAAAUGCGUAGAUAUUAGGAAGAACACCAGUGGCGAAGGCGAUCUACUGGACAGUAACUGACGCUGAGGCGCGAAAGCGUGGGGAGCAAACAGGAUUAGAUACCCUGGUA
rnacentral:rRNA from 1 species